rnacentral:rRNA from 1 species
GGGUUGUGAGGUUAAGCGACUAAGCGUACACGGUGGAUGCCCUGGCAGUCAGAGGCGAUGAAGGACGUGCUAAUCUGCGAUAAGCGUCGGUAAGGUGAUAUGAACCGUUAUAACCGGCGAUUUCCGAAUGGGGAAACCCAGUGUGAUUCGUCACACUAUCAUUAACUGAAUCCAUAGGUUAAUGAGGCGAACCGGGGGAACUGAAACAUCUAAGUACCCCGAGGAAAAGAAAUCAACCGAGAUUCCCCCAGUAGCGGCGAGCGAACGGGGAGGAGCCCAGAGCCUGAAUCAGUGUGUGUGUUAGUGGAAGCGUCUGGAAAGGCGCGCGAUACAGGGUGACAGCCCCGUACACAAAAAUGCACAUGCUGUGAGCUCGAUGAGUAGGGCGGGACACGUGGUAUCCUGUCUGAAUAUGGGGGGACCAUCCUCCAAGGCUAAAUACUCCUGACUGACCGAUAGUGAACCAGUACCGUGAGGGAAAGGCGAAAAGAACCCCGGCGAGGGGAGUGAAAAAGAACCUGAAACCGUGUACGUACAAGCAGUGGGAGCACA